GGCAAAACCAACAGAUCAGGACACGACUGCCAUUGAAGAGAUAGUUUGUCAUACUCACAGAUCCCAAGACGAGAGGAGACCACACAGAGAAGCACAAGUUAUUGUGGUUUCUGCUGCAAGGCACAGAUGGGAAGACCCUGGAGAAAGGAAAAGAAGAGAGUCUGCCCACAGCUCGUCUUGAAAGAAGCACACGCUUCCAGACACAGACUUUCAGUCCCCAUGGAAGAGAAGCACAGUCAACCAAGGCCACAGACUUCAGGUGAGAGACCUGAUGUCCAAGAAGUUAGGAGAGGCAGUAACUGCGACUCCUGCCUGAUCCUAAGCAUCUGUGGAGCUACAUGUUUAUUCUUGGCCUGACUUCAUUGCCGAUUUUCUCCUUCCCAGGGUCUUGUUAGGAACUACUCUAGGUCUGACCCACAAAAUUCUACCUUCUCCG
rnacentral:lncRNA from 1 species